CUGACUGCUAUCGGAUUGAUACUAAGCCAUGCGAGUCAUUGUAGCAAUACAAGGCAGACGGCUCAGUAACGCGUAGUCAACCUACCCUAUGGACGGGAAUAACCUCGGGAAACUGAGUAUAAUGCCCGAUAGAACAUUAUGCCUGGAAUGGUUUGUGUUCCAAAUGAUUUAUCGCCGUAGGAUGGGACUGCGGCCUAUCAGUUUGUUGGUGAGGUAAUGGCCCACCAAGGCGAUUACAGGUACGGGCUCUGAGAGGAGAAGCCCGGAGAUGGGUACUGAGACACGGACCCAGGCCCUAUGGGGCGCAGCAGGCGAGAAAACUUUGCAAUGUGCGAAAGCACGACAAGGUUAAUCCGAGUGAUUUCUGCUAAAGAAAUCUUUUGCCAGUCAUAAAACCACUGGUGAAUAAGGGGUGGGCAAGUUCUGGUGUCAGCCGCCGCGGUAAAACCAGCACCUCAAGUGGUCAGGAUGAUUAUUGGGCCUAAAGCAUCCGUAGCCGGCUUUGUAAGUUUUCGGUUAAAUCCAUGUGUUCAACGCAUGGGCUGCCGAAAAUACUGCAUGGCUAGGGAGUGGGAGAGGUAGACGGUACUCAGUAGGAAGGGGUAAAAUCCUUUGAUCUAUUGAUGACCACCUGUGGCGAAGGCGGUCUACCAGAACACGUUCGACGGUGAGGGAUGAAAGCUGGGGGAGCAAACCGGAUUAGAUACCCGGGUAGUCCCAGCUGUAAACGAUGCAGACUAGAUGAUGCAUUGGCAUAAUAGCCAUUGCAGUGUCUCAGGGAAGCCGUUAAGUCUGCCGCCUGGGAGGUACGUACGCAAGUAUGAAACUUAAAGGAAUUGGCGGGGGAGCACACAAGGGUGAAGCCUGCGGUUCAUUGGAUUCACCGCCGG
rnacentral:rRNA from 1 species